AUGGACACGAAGACGAAGGGAUCCUUCCCCGCCCACUCCUUCCAGCCCCACGCCGUCGACGAGGCGCCCCGCUACCCCAGCUCGGUUCUCCUCGACAGCAAGGCCUACUUCGCCGACCGCGAGAACGGCACCACCGCCGAAGCCGAGUCGAUCACCGGCCGCACCGUGAAGGUCACCUUCUGCCUCGCGGAUCGGCCGGCCGUCUCCCACUUCUGCGUGCACGGCCCCGGGUUCAGCAGCGAGGACUACGUCGUUGAGCCCCGGGUUAUAUCCUCGGACAAGGACCUCGUUCUCCUAGGCUUCGGCUUCGCCGCCAGCCCCCGGAGCAACGUGCAAGGACGUGGUCACGCCGAGCUAGCCACGGCGGAGGGCCGUCGCUCACACCGAUCCCGGCCACUCCCCCAGGCAUCAGAAACCACAUGGAACGUCGGCAUCGUGUCGUGCGACAACAAGGGGGGUUUUCUCCUCGCCGACCUCACCCAUGCGGCUACCCUUGCGGACUAUUACCUCCACGUCUUUUCAUCCAAGACUGCCACGUGGACCACGAGGACACUACAGGUGCAGGCGCCACUUAGCCACAUCAGGGCAGAGGACCUGUUCACUGUGCCUCACAAGGUGAUCGUGCUUGGCAGAGGCAUGGUGGCAUGGGUCGACCUCUGGCGCGGCAUUAUCGUCAAAUGCUUUCGCUACAACGCUACGCCGCCGCCGCCGUUCUCGUCGAUCUCGCCGCACCGUCGCCGUCCUUGUGAUCGCGUCGCCGCCGCCAUGUCGGGAUCCGCUGCCUCGGGCUCCUGCACGGCCAACUACCUGCCGGUCUCCCUCGCAGCUCUACUCUCCCGGCCCCUCGACUCUGUCGCGGCCGCGUCACUCCUGUUCGGGAUGAGGAGCGUCGGCUCCUUCUUCUCCUCGUCGAUGGGCAACUCGCUGGUGGUCCACAACACCAGCACCACGACGGGCGCCUCUUCGCCCGCCUCCGUCAGCGACGCCGCCGUCGCCCAGCUGUCGGCCUCCGCGUCGGCCCUGAUGGCCGGCCUUGCCGCGUCGUUCCUACGGCCACCGCGCGUUCGUCCCCGCGGCUGCACCUGUGGCCCCUGCCCCCAUGGCGCUUUCGCCUCCGGCAGCCUACUCCACGGGUUCUCUGUCGCCGCCGCCGUUUCACUUUGGCAAUCUCAUCACCAUCAUGUUGUCGUCGGACAACUACAUCUUCUGGCGUGCGCAGGGCUCCUUCGAGGCUGCCACCACCGCCUGCCUCAGCCCGUCUGCUACCGCGACAUUACCGGGGGCAGGCGGUAA
rnacentral:rRNA from 1 species